GAUGAAGAACGCAGCGAAAUGCGAUACGUAAUGUGAAUUGCAGAAUUCAGUGAAUCAUCGAGUCUUUGAACGCACAUUGCGCCCCCUGGUAUUCCGGGGGGCAUGCCUGUCCGAGCGUCAUUGCUGCCCUCAAGCACGGCUUGUGUGUUGGGCCUCCGUCCUCCUCCCGGGGGACGGGCCCGAAAGGCAGCGGCGGCACCGCGUCCGGACCUCGAGCGUAUGGGGCUUUGUCACCCGCUCUGGAGACCCGGCCGGCGGCCGUCGGACCACCCCAACCUUUUUAACCGGUUGACCUCGGAUCAGGCAGGGAUACCCGCUGAACUUAAGCAUAUCAAUAAGCGGAGGA
rnacentral:misc_RNA from 1 species